rnacentral:snoRNA from 1 species
UAGUUACAACCAAGGCUUCCAGGAUGCAGUUUCUCAUUCACUGGGGACACGACCUUAAAAACUCCACCCACUAGAUUUUCUGUUACCUUUCUAGCGGUCAGCCUAUGGAAACAUUU